rnacentral:rRNA from 1 species
GGGGGUGAAAGGCCAAUCAAACCGGGAGAUAGCUGGUUCUCCCCGAAAGCUAUUUAGGUAGCGCCUCGUGAACUCAUCUUCGGGGGUAGAGCACUGUUUCGGCUAGGGGGUCAUCCCGACUUACCAACCCGAUGCAAACUGCGAAUACCGAAGAAUGUUAUCACGGGAGACACACGGCGGGUGCUAACGUCCGUCGUGAAGAGGGAAACAACCCAGACCGCCAGCUAAGGUCCCAAAGUCACAGUUAAGUGGGAAACGAUGUGGGAAGGCUCAGACAGCCAGGAUGUUGGCUUAGAAGCAGCCAUCAUUUAAAGAAAGCGUAAUAGCUCACUGGUCGAGUCGGCCUGCGCGGAAGAUGUAACGGGGCUAAACUGUGCACCGAAGCUGCGGCAGCGACGCUUAUGCGUUGUUGGGUAGGGGAGCGUUCUGUAAGCCUGCGAAGGUGUCCUGUGAGGGAUGCUGGAGGUAUCAGAAGUGCGAAUGCUGACAUAAGUAACGAUAA